rnacentral:rRNA from 1 species
AGUCGAACGGUAACAGGAAUUAGCUUGCUAAUUUGCUGACGAGUGGCGCACGGGUGCGUAACGCGUAUACAAUCUACCUUUUGCUGAGGGAUAGCCCAGAGAAAUUUGGAUUAAUACCUCAUAGUAUUAUUGAUAGGCAUCUAUUAAUAAUUAAAGGUUACGGCAAAAGAUGAGUAUGCGUCCCAUUAGCUAGUUGGCGAGGUAACGGCUCACCAAGGCAACGAUGGGUAGGGGUCCUGAGAGGGAGAUCCCCCACACUGGUACUGAGACACGGACCAGACUCCUACGGGAGGCAGCAGUGAGGAAUAUUGGACAAUGGGCGAGAGCCUGAUCCAGCCAUGCCGCGUGCAGGAAGACUGCCCUAUGGGUUGUAAACUGCUUUUAUACAGGAAGAAUAAGCCUUACGUGUAAGGUGAUGACGGUACUGUAAGAAUAAGGACCGGCUAACUCCGUGCCAGCAGCCGCGGUAAUACGGAGGGUCCGAGCGUUAUCCGGAAUUAUUGGGUUUAAAGGGUCCGUAGGCGGAUGAUUAAGUCAGGGGUGAAAGUUCGCAGCUCAACUGUAAAAUUGCCUUUGAUACUGGUUAUCUUGAGUUGUAUUGAAGUAGGCGGAAUAUGUAGUGUAGCGGUGAAAUGCAUAGAUAUUACAUAGAACACCAAUUGCGAAGGCAGCUUACUAAGUACUAACUGACGCUGAUGGACGAAAGCGUGGGUAGCGAACAGGAUUAGAUACCCUGGGUAGAAGGGC